rnacentral:lncRNA from 1 species
GACGCUUGGAUUUACCAUCGACUACAAUUCUCUAUAAGCAAUUACAUGUCAAGACUCUACACACUCAUAGCCAAUAGAGACGUAUACCUCAGAAGGUGGACAUAACCCCAACGCCUCAAUUCUCAUUGUUUACAACACACGUGACAAUCUCUCUUUAUUUUGCUAUUUUCAGUUCUUACAUUCUUGUUUUGGUUACAUACUACAAUCCCCCCUUUCCUACGAGACUUGCACUAAAAGUCUAGUAAUUUUUCUUGCUUGUUGGCCAAGCUAUUCUCUGUGGGAUCGAUACCCAACCCAGGUUGGGUUCUAUAUUUGCUAACGACCGCUUUACACUCCCACGAGAGCUGUAGAUUGAGCGUUAUCAAAAAUUGGCGCCGUUGCCGGGGAAUACGAGUGUCAAUCAAGUUCGUGAAAAUUACUAGACCCUUUGGUCAAAGAUUCUCGUACUUUUACGUUUAGUUUUUGUUUUUGUUUAUUGCAGGUUUUUCUUUUAGUGCAUGCC